UACGAAGGGUGCAAGCGUUACUCGGAAUUACUGGGCGUAAAGCGUGCGUAGGUGGUUUGUUAAGUCUGAUGUGAAAGCCCUGGGCUCAACCUGGGAAUUGCAUUGGAUACUGGCAGGCUAGAGUGCGGUAGAGGAUGGCGGAAUUCCCGGUGUAGCAGUGAAAUGCGCAGAUAUCAGGAGGAACACCAAUGGCGAAGGCAGCUCGCUGGGACGGUACUGACGCUGAGGUGCGAAAGCGUGGGGAGCAAACAGG
rnacentral:rRNA from 1 species